rnacentral:rRNA from 1 species
AUGGAGGCGCCGUGGGCGGCGGCGGGGGCGCGCCCGCAGCCGAUGAAGACGGCUCUUCCCGGUAGAUCCGGUUGCCCAUCUUUCCCGGCGGCGCGGCGUCGGCGUGCUCCGUCUAAGAUGAGAUCAGCGAGGGCGCGGGUUUGGGGAGACGGUGGGUGGCGGCCUCUUCUGUGGCUGCCCAUGACAGUUGUGGAGCCCUGGCCGGCGAGUGCAGUGGCGAGAGCGGCCCAGCGGAGUCGGCAAUAA